GGAAGACGAGGAAGACAUGCGGGGGCACGCACUACUACUACUGCUGUUGGUGGCCGCGUCGGUGUUAAGGCCAGCAAGCCCCCGGCCGUUCUUCUUCGACAAAUACAUCUUCAAGGGAAAGAGCUUCGGAUUCGGCCACCCCUAUCCUGUCUACGUCCCUGUUCACGUGCCUAUCCACCACAAGCACGUCGUCCACUACGUUCACCACGGCAAGGGCACCAGCAGCUACUCCGAAGGGCACAGUAGUGGAGGAUAUGGUGGAGGAGGGUUUAGUGGAGGCGGUGGAUACGGCGGCGGCGGCGGGGGAUACGGCGGCGGCAGCGGGGGAUACGGCGGCGGCGUCGGUGGUGGAUAUGGCGGGAUCAGCUUCGGAGGUACUGGAUUUGGCGGUGGGCAUGGAGGUGGUGGUCUGUAUGGUGGUGGUUAUGGAGGUCACAAAUAAAACAAAGAAAAAAUGCAGGAUUAUAAACAGAGGAAACUACGUUCCUAUAGACUCCGAGAGGCCAUGGAGUUUAUAGUUCCGUUGUUGCAGGUUACAACUAAAAAAAAUAUAGAAUAAGUGCAACAAAACAAGUGCCCUUAUUCUUGGCCGCUUCUCACUGUCAUGACAAAUACUUCCAAAGGUCAUAAAGAAGAUUUGUCGGGUCCUCAUGAGUGUGUAUCACGUUCAUGGUCCAGAAGCCUUGCCAAACUAUCACUAUGCUCAUGAAACUAUGCAUGGAAAUACUAACAACUUCUACCUAAGUCUUAUCAAAUCUUGGUGUGUAAGCCCCGAGGUUUUUUUUUUAAUAUGGGCCACAAUGUACAUUCUUUCCUUUCCUCUUUCCCUUUCCUCUUCCAUACUAAGUGGCUUCCUUCUUGCCACUUUUCCUUCUUUCUUUCCUUUUCUUCAUUCCCUCUUUCCCCUCCUUCCCUUCUUCUCAUUUUCCUCCAUGUCUAUCUUCUUGUCACAUUCUCUUCCUUUCUCCUCUCCCACCAUUCUCUUAGUUAUUGUUAUAGUUGUUUGUGUGAGAUUGUAUAUACAUUGUUAAUACUGUGUCAUACAUGGGUUACCUGUCUAUUGCAUUAUAUUACUGUUAAGUACAACCGUUGUAAAAUACGUAAUCUUCUGUUUGUUAAAGUUAGCACCAGUGUUAGUUUGUUAGUUAGUUAGUUUGUUUGUUAUUUAGUUUGUUAUUCACUUAGUUAUUUGAUUAGUUAGUUAGUGUGUGUUUGUGUGUGUUCAUCUGCUGUUUGUUUAAGUUUGUAUCUGUGGAGAUAGUUAGUUAGUUAGUUAGUUAGUUAUUCAGUUGGUUAAUUAGAUAAGUGUGUGUGUGUGUGUGUGUGUGUGUGUGUCUCAUAUAACCGCUGCAUUUUGAUCACUGUUACCUGGUCAAAUAAAGGUGCCGUAUUUUU